UGGGGAAUUUUGGACAAUGGGCGCAAGCCUGAUCCAGCCAUUCCGCGUGCAGGAUGAAGGCCUUCGGGUUGUAAACUGCUUUUGUACGGAACGAAAAGCCUUCUUCUAAUACAGGAGGGUCAUGACGGUACCGUAAGAAUAAGCACCGGCUAACUACGUGCCAGCAGCCGCGGUAAUACGUAGGGUGCAAGCGUUAAUCGGAAUUACUGGGCGUAAAGCGUGCGCAGGCGGUUAUGUAAGACAGAUGUGAAAUCCCCGGGCUCAACCUGGGAACUGCAUUUGUGACUGCAUAGCUAGAGUACGGUAGAGGGGGAUGGAAUUCCGCGUGUAGCAGUGAAAUGCGUAGAUAUGCGGAGGAACACCGAUGGCGAAGGCAAUCCCCUGGACCUGUACUGACGCUCAUGCACGAAAGCGUGGGGAGCAAACA
rnacentral:rRNA from 1 species